GAUGAACGCUGGCGGCGUGCCUAAUACAUGCAAGUCGAACGCUUCUAUCCUACCGUUUGUUUGCACUCGAUUGCGAAGAGCGGGGGCGUACGGGUUAGUUACACGUCCGUAACCUCCCCAUUAGCGGGGGAUAACCCGUGCUAAUAGGUGCUAAUACCUCAUAACACUUUAUUCCGCAUGGCAUAACAGUGUUAGUGGCUCUCGUGUGUCGCUGCUAGAUGGAUCCGCGAGGCAUUAGCUAGUUGGUUAGGUAACGGCUCACCAAGGCAACGAUGCAUAGCCGACCUGAGAGGGUGAUCGGCCACACUGGAACUGAGACACGGCCCAGACUCCUACGGGAGGCAGCAGUAGGGAAUCUUCGGCAAUGGGCGAAAGUCUGACCGAGCAACGCCGCGUGAGUGAAGAAGGUUUUCGGAUCGUAAAACUCUGUUGUUAGGGAAGAACAAGGGUGUAAGUAACUGAGCGUCCCUUGACGGUAUCUAACCAGAAAGCCACGGCUAACUACGUG
rnacentral:rRNA from 1 species